AAGUCGUAACAAGGUUUCCGUAGGUGAACCUGCGGAAGGAUCAUUAACACGUAUCCAAACGUUAAAACAACCCUGUGAACCUUCAGCGUGUUCUUGCAGGACAUCAAAACAGCAAUCCCGAGUAAAUCAGGCGCUAAAGAAUUACAGAUUUUGAUUUUGGGAAGUUCUGUGUGUACGUGGACGCUGCAAUUGAGCGCUAGAUAAAGCACCCUGGUACCCUAGAGCACUCCCCUGUCUGAAAGCGGCAGGGAUCAAUGUUCAGGUGUCAACGAUCGCUGUAGGUCCACACGGCCGGCGACCGGGACUUGCCGAAAGCUGACUCCGUCAUAAAUCGAACAACUGUUAACAAUGGAUAUCUUGGUUCUC
rnacentral:misc_RNA from 1 species